rnacentral:rRNA from 1 species
ACGCUGGCGGGAGGCCUAACGCAUGCAAGCCGAGCGGUAGAGAUUCUUCGGAAUCUUGAGAGCGGCGUACGGGUGCGGAACACGUGUGCAACCUGCCUUUAUCAGGGAGAUAGCCUUUCGAAAGGAAGAUUAAUAUCCCAUAUAUUUUGAGUGGCAUCACUUAAAAUUGAAAGCCCCGGCGGAUAGAGAUGGGCACGCGCAAGAUUAGAUAGUUGGCGGGGUAACGGCCCACCAAGUCAAUGAUCUUUAGGGGGCCUGAGAGGGUGAUCCCCCACACUGGUACUGAGACACGGACCAGACUCCUACGGGAGGCAGCAGUGAGGAAUAUUGGACAAUGGGUGAGAGCCUGAUCCAGCCAUCCCGCGUGAAGGACGACGGCCCUAUGGGUUGUAAACUUCUUUUGUAUAGGGAUAAACCUACCCUCGUGAGGGUAGCUGAAGGUACUAUACGAAUAAGCACCGGCUAACUCCGUGCCAGCAGCCGCGGUAAUACGGAGGGUGCAAGCGUUAUCCGGAUUUAUUGGGUUUAAAGGGUCCGUAGGCGGACUCGUAAGUCAGUGGUGAAAUCUCAUAGCUUAACUAUGAAACUGCCAUUGAUACUGCGGGUCUUGAGUAAGGUAGAGGUAGCUGGAAUAAGUAGUGUAGCGGUGAAAUGCAUAGAUAUUACUUAGAACACCAAUUGCGAAGGCAGGUUACCAUGUCUUAACUGACGCUGAUGGACGAAAGCGUGGGAGCGAAAC